rnacentral:rRNA from 1 species
CACACAACUCUCGGCAACGGAUAUCUCGGCUCUCGCAUCGAUGAAGAACGUAGCGAAAUGCGAUACCUGGUGUGAAUUGCAGAAUCCCGCGAACCAUCGAGUCUUUGAACGCAAGUUGCGCCCGAGGCCACUCGGCCGAGGGCACGCCUGCCUGGGCGUCACGC